UCCCACUAAUGAUGGUCUUAGUUUUAAACUGUGGCCAAGCGUAUUAAGAAGCUACAGUUUGUGUUAGCAUUAAUAUGUAACAACAUGCUGAACCAGCUUCAAACUCUUUGACAGAAAUAAAAGUAACUCAAUAACAAAAUACUCUGUAUACAUUAUUAGAUUUAUGGGAUUAAUGAGAUAAGAUCAUAACUCAUAAGUAAGAGAGAUUAUUAAUGAAGUUGACACGUCACUGACGAGUCAUCUCGUAUUAGCUUAUAUAUGAAUGAAAAAAAUGAAAGCUUUGUUAUUAGAUCAUCAUC
rnacentral:lncRNA from 1 species